GUCGAGGGGCAUCAGGAAGAAGCUUGCUUUCUUUGCUGGCGACCGGCGCACGGGUGAGUAACACGUAUCCAACCUGCCCUUUACUCGGGGAUAGCCUUUCGAAAGAAAGAUUAAUACCCGAUAGCAUAAUGAUUCCGCAUGGUUUCAUUAUUAAAGGAUUCCGGUAAAGGAUGGGGAUGCGUUCCAUUAGGUUGUUGGUGAGGUAACGGCUCACCAAGCCUUCGAUGGAUAGGGGUUCUGAGAGGAAGGUCCCCCACAUUGGAACUGAGACACGGUCCAAACUCCUACGAGAGGCAGCAGUGAGGAAUAUUGGUCAAUGGGCGCUAGCCUGAACCAGCCAAGUAGCGUGAAGGAUGAAGGCUCUAUGGGUCGUAAACUUCUUUUAUAUAAGAAUAAAGUGCAGUAUGUAUACUGUUUUGUAUGUAUUAUAUGAAUAAGGAUCGGCUAACUCCGUGCCAGCAGCCGCGGUAAUACGGAGGAUCCGAGCGUUAUCCGGAUUUAUUGGGUUUAAAGGGAGCGUAGGUGGACUGGUAAGUCAGUUGUGAAAGUUUGCGGCUCAACCGUAAAAUUGCAGUUGAUACUGUCAGUCUUGAGUACAGUAGAGGUGGGCGGAAUUCGUGGUGUAGCGGUGAAAUGCUU
rnacentral:rRNA from 1 species